rnacentral:rRNA from 1 species
UGGGGAAUUUUGGACAAUGGGGGCAACCCUGAUCCAGCAAUGCCGGGUGUGUGAAGAAGGCCUUCGGGUUGUAAAGCACUUUUGUCCGGAAAGAAAACUUCGGGGCUAAUACCCCUGGAGGAUGACGGUACCGGAAGAAUAAGCACCGGCUAACUACGUGCCAGCAGCCGCGGUAAUACGUAGGGUGCGAGCGUUAAUCGGAAUUACUGGGCGUAAAGCGUGCGCAGGCGGUGCUGUAAGACCGAUGUGAAAUCCCCGGGCUUAACCUGGGAACUGCAUUGGUGACUGCAGCGCUGGAGUAUGGCAGAGGGGGGUGGAAUUCCACGUGUAGCAGUGAAAUGCGUAGAGAUGUGGAGGAACACCGAUGGCGAAGGCAGCCCCCUGGGCCAAUACUGACGCUCAUGCACGAAAGCGUGGGGAGCAAACAGG